AUAUGGCAGGUGUGGUAUCAAUUAGAUGUGUGAAGUGUACUUAUGAACUCAAUUUAGAGGCUAAUUGAUAUUCUGACCUGCUAAUU